rnacentral:rRNA from 1 species
CAGAGGGUGCAAGCGUUAAUCGGAGUUACUGGGCGUAAAGGGCGCGUAGGCGGUUUAUUGGGUGUGAUGUGAAAGCCUUGGGCUUAACCUGAGAAGUGCAUCGCAAACUAAUAGACUGGAGUAUAUGAGAGGGUGGCGGAAUUUCCGGUGUAGCGGUGAGAUGCGUAGAGAUCGGAAGGAACGUCAAUGGCGAAGGCAGCCACCUGGCAUAAUACUGACGCUGAGGCGCGAGAGCGUGGGGAGCGAACAGGAUUAGAUACCCUGGUAGUCCACGCAGUAAACGAUGAGGACUAGAUGUUGCUGGGGGAACCUAGCAGUAUCGAAGCUAACGCGAUAAGUCUUCCGCCUGGGAAGUACGGCCGCAAGGUUG